AACGUACGCUGGCGGCACGCCUAACACAUGCAAGUCGAACGCAGUAGCAAUACUGAGUGGCAGACGGGUGAGUAACAUGUGGGAAUCUGCCUUGUGGUUCAGGACAACAUUGGGAAACCGAUGCUAAUACUGGAUAAGCCCUUACGGGGAAAGUUUUAAUGCCAUAAGAUGAGCCCGCAUUUGAUUAGUUAGUUGGUGAGGUAAUGGCUCACCAAGACAAUGAUCAAUAGCUGAUCUGAGAGGAUGAUCAGCCACACUGGGACUGAGACACGGCCCAGACUCCUACGGGAGGCAGCAGUGGGGAAUCUUGCACAAUGGAGGAAACUCUGAUGCAGCGAUGCCGCGUGAGUGAAGAAGGCCUUUGGGUUGUAAAGCUCUUUUGUAGGGGAAGAUAAUGACUGUACCCUAAGAAUAAGGUCCGGCUAACUUCGUGCCAGCAGCCGCCGUAA
rnacentral:rRNA from 1 species